GAUGAACGCUGGCGGCGUGCCUAAUACAUGCAAGUCGAGCGAACGGACGAGAAGCUUGCUUCUCUGAUGUUAGCGGCGGACGGGUGAGUAACACGUGGAUAACCUACCUAUAAGACUGGGAUAACUUCGGGAAACCGGAGCUAAUACCGGAUGAUAUUUUGAACCGCAUGGUUCAAAAGUGAAAGACGGUCUUGCUGUCACUUAUAGAUGGAUCCGCGCUGCAUUAGCUAGUUGGUAAGGUAACGGCUUACCAAGGCAACGAUGCAUAGCCGACCUGAGAGGGGGAUCGGCCACACUGGAACUGAGACACGGUCCAGACUCCUACGGGAGGCAGCAGUAGGGAAUCUUCCGCGAUGGGCGAAAGCCUGACGGAGCAACGCCGCGUGAGUGAUGAAGGGCUUCGGAUCGUAAAACGCUGUUAUUAGGGAAGAACAUAUGUGUAAGUAACUGUGCACAUCUGGACGGUACCUAAUCAGAAAGCCACGGCUAACUACGU
rnacentral:rRNA from 1 species